rnacentral:rRNA from 1 species
GAAAGUAAAGAAGGGCGCACGGCGGAUGCCUAGGCUCUCAGAGGCGAAGAAGGACGCGACAAGCUGCGAAAAGCUGCGGGGAGGUGCACAUAACCUGUGAUCCGCAGAUCUCCGAAUGGGGCAACCCACCAGGUUGAAGGCCUGGUAUCCUGGAGCAAUUCAGGAGGCAAACCCGUUGAACUGAAACAUCUUAGUAGGCGGAGGAGAAGAAAACAAAAGUGAUUCCCCCAGUAGCGGCGAGCGAAGCGGGAAUAGCCCAAACCAAUUCUGUUUAGGCAGGGUUGGGGUAGUAGGACUGCAUAAAGAUAAUAUUAAUACGAAGUGGAAGCAUCUGGAAAGUUGCAUCAUAGAGGGUUAAAGUCCCGUACACGUAAGUAUGAUAUUACGAGCAGUAUCCUGAGUAACGCGGGACACGAGGAAUCUUGCGUGAAUCUGCCGGGACCAUCCGGUAAGGCUAAAUACUCCUGAGAGACCGAUAGUGAACCAGUACCGUGAGGGAAAGGUGAAAAGCACCCCUAACAGGGGAGUGAAAUAGUACCUGAAACCGUGCGCUUACAAACUGUUGGAGCCCUUUAGUGGGGUGACAGCGUGCCUUUUGCAUAAUGAGCCUACGAGUUAUUCCUUGCCAGCGAGGUUAAGUGUUGUUAGACACGGAGCCGAAGCGAAAGCGAGUCUUGAAAGGGCGCUAAGUUGGCAGGGAUAGACGCGAAACCUAGUGAUCUACCCAUGGUCAGGUUGAAGUUUCGGUAACACGAAAUGGAGGACCGAACCGGUAAACGUUGAAAAGUUUUCGGAUGAACUGUGGGUAGGGGUGAAAGGCCAAUCAAACUGGGAAAUAGCUCGUACUCCCCGAAAUGCAUUUAGGUGCAGCCUCGAUUAAGAGUUAUCCAGAGGUAGAGCUACUGAUAGGACGCGAGGGCUUCACCGCCUAUCAAAUCCUGACAAACUCCGAAUGCUGGAUAAUGUUUUUCGAGAGUGAGGGCAUGGGUGCUAAGGUCCGUGUCCGAGAGGGAAAGAACCCAGACCAUCAGCUAAGGUCCCCAAAUGUAUGCUAAGUUGAAGAAAACGCGGUAUGGUUGCAGAGACAGCUAGGAUGUUGGCUUGGAAGCAGCCAUUCAUUUAAAGAGUGCGUAACAGCUCACUAGUCGAGCGACCGUGCAUGGAUAAUAAUCGGGCAUCAAGCAUACUACCGAAGCUAUGGAAUGAUACUUAUGUAUCAUUGGUAGGGGAGCAUUCCAGUCAGCGUCGAAGCAGUAUCGUGAGGUAUUGUGGAGCGUCUGGAAAAGCAAAUGUAGGCAUAAGUAACGAUAAUGGGGGUGAGAAACCCCCACGCCGAAAGACCAAGGAUUCCUGAUCAACGUUAAUCGGAUCAGGGUUAGUCGGGCCCUAACACGUACCCGUUAGGGGAAGUGGAUGGCAAACAGGUUAAUAUUCCUGUACCCGUUAUACAACAAAAGUGACGUAUAAGAGAGAUGUCUGGGUGCUGACGGAAUAGCACGCUGAGCUUAGGUUUCGGCCGAAGCGAAGGCAAGCAUCUUGUACCGAGAAAAGCGAGUAUAACGGCUCGUACCGUAAACGGACACACGUAGUUGGGUUGAGUAUACUAAGGCGCUCGAGUGAUCCACGGCUAAGGAACUCGGCAAAUUAACCCUGUAACUUCGGGAGAAAGGGUUCCUGUUAAGCGAUUGACAGGACGCAGAGAAAUGGCCCAGGCGACUGUUUAACAAAAACACAUGGCUAUGCAAAAUCGAAAGAUUAAGUAUAUGGCCUGACACCUGCCCGGUGCUGGAAGGUUAAGAGGAGAUGUCAGGAGCAAUCCAAAGCAUUGAAUUGAAGCCCCAGUAAACGGCGGCCGUAACUAUAACGGUCCUAAGGUAGCGAAAUUCCUUGUCGGGUAAGUUCCGACCUGCACGAAUGGUGUAACGAUCUGGGCACUGUCUCAGCCGUGAGCUCGGUGAAAUUGUAAUACCGGUGAAGAUGCCGGUUACCCGCAACGGGACGGAAAGACCCCGUGAACCUUUACUGCAACUUAGCAUUGAUUUUGGGUAAGUUAUGUGUAGGAUAGGCCGGAGACUAUGAAGUGGUGCCGCCAGGUAUCAUGGAGUCGCCGUUGAAAUACGGCCCUUGACUUGCCUGAAGUCUAAUCCCUCAGAGAGAGGGAGACAUUGCUUGGUGGGUAGUUUGACUGGGGUGGUCGCCUCCAAAAGAGUAACGGAGGCUCCCAAAGGUACCCUCAUGACGUUUGGCAAUCGUCAGUAGAGUGUAAUGGCACAAGGGUGCUUGACUGUGAGACCGACAAGUCGAACAGGUAGGAAACUAGGGCAUAGUGAUCCGGUGGUUCCGCAUGGAAGGGCCAUCGCUCAAAGGAUAAAAGGUACUCCGGGGAUAACAGGCUGAUCGCCGCCAAGAGCUCACAUCGACGCGGCGGUUUGGCACCUCGAUGUCGGCUCGUCACAUCCUGGGGCUGGAGAAGGUCCCAAGGGUUCGGCUGUUCGCCGAUUAAAGUGGCACGCGAGCUGGGUUCAGAACGUCGUGAGACAGUUCGGUCCCUAUCUGUUGUGGGCGCAGGAGAUUUGAGAGACCCUGUCAUUAGUACGAGAGGACCGUGAUGGACAAACCUCUGGUGUAUCAGUUGUACCGCCAGGUGCAGCGCUGAGUAGCUAUGUUUGGAAGGGAUAAGUGCUGAAAGCAUCUAAGCACGAAGCCUGUCUCAAGAUUAGAUCUCCAUAUAAGGGGCGUUAAAGACUAUGACGUUGAUAGGCUGCAGGUAUAAAGGUGGUAACAUCAAAGCCGAGCAGUACUAAUUACCCGAGACUUUCAGAG